rnacentral:rRNA from 1 species
UACGUAGGGUGCGAGCGUUGUCCGGAAUUAUUGGGCGUAAAGAGCUCGUAGGCGGUGUGUCACGUCGGCCGUGAAAACCUGCAGCUUAACUGUGAGCGUGCGGUCGAUACGGGCAUCACUGGAGUUCGGCAGGGGAGACUGGAAUUCCUGGUGUAGCGGUGAAAUGCGCAGAUAUCAGGAGGAACACCGGUGGCGAAGGCGGGUCUCUGGGCCGAUACUGACGCUGAGGAGCGAAAGCGUGGGGAGCAAACAGG